UUUUAAUUAACUUGGUAACGCAGCUAACGCGUGAAGUAGACCGCCUGGGGAGUACGGUCGCAAGAUUAAAACUCAAAGGAAUUGACGGGGACCCGCACAAGCGGUGGAUGAUGUGGAUUAAUUCGAUGCAACGCGAAAAACCUUACCUACCCUUGACAUGUACGGAAGUCACGAGAGAUCGAGAUGUGCUCGAAAGAGAACCGUAACACAGGUGCUGCAUGGCUGUCGUCAGCUCGUGUCGUGAGAUGUUGGGUUAAGUCCCGCAACGAGCGCAACCCUUGUCAUUAGUUGCUACAUUUAGUUGAGCACUCUAAUGAGACUGCCGGUGACAAACCGGAGGAAGGUGGGGAUGACGUCAAGUCCUCAUGGCCCUUAUGGGUAGGGCUUCACACGUCAUACAAUGGUACAUACAGAGGGCCGCCAACCCGCGAGGGGGAGCUAAUCCCAGAAAGUGUAUCGUAGUCCGGAUCGCAGUCUGCAACUCGACUGCGUGAAGUUGGAAUCGCUAGUAAUCGCGGAUCAGCAUGUCGCGGUGAAUACGUUCCCGGGUCUUGUACACACCGCCCGUCACACCAUGGGAGCGGGUUUUACCAGAAGUAGGUAGCUUAACCGCAAGGGGGCGCUUACCACGGUAGGAUUCGUGACUGGGGUGAAGUCGUAACAAGGUAGCCGUAUCGGAAGGGUGCC
rnacentral:rRNA from 1 species